CGACCAAAGAGAGCGCUUUCCCUAUAGCAGCUGCUGGGUAGACACACAGAAUAAAAUAAAUGGCAAAUUAAUAAUGACUUUAAAUCAAAGCAAAGGAAGAAUGCCAAAAUAGUCUAAUAAAGUUAUCAUAUAAUGGCAAAUCAAUAAUGAAUUGACAAAUGAUUCAUGCGUUUAAACGAAUGAGAGCAGAUCAAUAAGCUACAGUAGAAAGCUCAAUCAGGCUCAUGGAAGAUACAAUAUCAAUGCAUGGUUGAAUGCACGUGUUAAUGGACAUUUCUACUUUCUAUGUACUAAACAAAUAGAUUUAGAUCAGGAAUUGUCAGAGUAAUGUAUAGGCAGGCUAAUAUAGCAGCAUGUAGAAUGCUAAAUGGAUUCUGGGCUCGAUACCCAAUGUCUGAAGCCUACCUUUAGGUAACCUAGAGCAAUAUGUCUAACAACUACCUUCUCCCUAAUCACCUGUUUUACUCGGAUGAAAGUAAAAAGACUGCAUAUAUUUACGAACCAAAAAUAGCCUCAUAUUUAUGGAAGAGAGAGCGUGUAUUGUGAGUCCUGAUCCCUGACCCUCCCGCUGUGUGUCCUGCUGUGGUUGUGUGUGUUCCAGUUGGACCACGGCUGUGUCCUCCCAUGUCCAACAGCCGAGGACAUCACCAAGCGGGGGGUGCCCCCCGUGUCGCCCCCCCUGGCCAUGUGGGAGAGACAAACCUACGUGGUGGAGCUGGAGAAAGGGGAGUCUGGGCUGGGCUUCAGCAUCCUGGACUACCAGGAUCCCGAGGACGCCACCAAGACGGUGCUGGUCAUCCGCUCGCUGGUGCCCGGGGGCGUGGCCGACCAGGACGGCAACCUGCUCCCCGGGGACCGGCUGAUGUGCGUGAACGACUCGGACCUGCAGGGCUCCAGCCUGGACUACGCCGUGCACGUCCUCAAGUCCACCAGCUACGGCCCCGUCCGCAUCGGCGUAGCCAAGCCGCUGCCGGUACGGAGGGAAAGAUAGGAUUUCAAACACCUAAGGGCAUCCUUAAUAUCGUCUAAACUCGUUGAGCUCUGUCUUAAGGUUGCAUCUCUAGUUUAGCCCAACUGUUUAUUUUUUCCUCGAUGACAUUUUGUUUUGGUAUUAUUUUUUCAAUACGAAGAUGGUGUACAGCAAUUAAGUGUGCUGUGCGCGUAUUAAUCCAACUCGCACACAAGUACACAGACAGACACCUACUGUGAAGUGGUGUAUUUUCUAGAGAGAGAGAGAGCGUUGGCUUUUACCUCCUCUUUUUGUUUUGGACUGUGGCUUAGUAACAAGUAGCAGGGCGUCCAGUUUCAGACCCGUCUCAAUAUUUAAUGAAGCCCAGAGAGCAACACAAUGCUACACCGCACUACACGAGAAGAGAGAGGGCAGGGAAGGAGAGUAGUGGGAGGUCAAAUUCAACCCAGCGCCUUCUGGAAAGCCUUGUUAGCUUCUAUCAUAGCACACUGUUUUUGUUUGGAUCGUUUUUGUGGGUUUUUUGGUUGAUACAUAUUUCCCAUUUGACUUUGAGUGUGUGUGUGUGUGUGUGUGUGUGUGUUACCGUCAGUUGGAGCUGUGCGGUGGUCUGACGCCAAUCUCAGAGCGCAGCGCGCGUGCCUCCUACGAUGACGCUGACGGCCUCGUUCAGCUUAGCCUGCUAGCCGAGCUGACAGACGCUAACGCCAACGCCGGCCAUUCUGAGGAGAACCACAGCAGCAGCAGCCAGCUAGUCUACUCCAGAACGGUACGUGGCCCAGGUGGAACAGCUUAGCAUCACAUAGAAGGGGGAACAGCAAAGUGUUUGUCGGUCAAAGUCAACACUCACUGUUUGUCUGCCCUUAUUGUAAAGGGAUUGUUCAAAGUGUUUGCCGUUCAGGAAUAUUUGAAAGCUUUUCAAAUAAAUGUGAAACUAGUUUGAACAGUGUGUUUUUACCUUUUGCCCCAGUGAGCUAAGUAAAUUGGAUAGCUGUUUCAAAAUGUGCUCAGUAAUACCAUUGAGCUGAACAAGAUGACAGUAAUACAGAUGGAUCGGUACUUUCCACCUUUUUGGAUCCUUCGCCUCAGAGCCGG
ensembl:lncRNA